AUUUCUAUCUAAACUACAUUUUGCUCAAAAUCGCUCUGCUGCUCUGCUAUUGUUUUCCAACGUCACUUUCUCAAAUCCAUACAUACAUUUCUGUGUUACAUAUAUACUUUCUGCUUUCAAGAGGAGGCCGUAGAGGUAGAAGUAGACUUUGUCUUGUUAUUUAUCAAAGAAGUUAAAAAAACCAAAACCAAAAACAGAAAACUACUUUUGAAAAAAUGGAAAUCCUUUCAUCAAUUAUUGUAAAAAUAGGAGAAUACUUGGUUCUUCCAAUUGGAGAACAAUUUGGCUAUCUUAUUUCCUACAAGAGUAGUAUCAUGAUUCUUCAAGAGAAAUUUUCGAAGCUACGUGAGAAAAAGGAGGCGGUGCAACAAUCUGUUGAUGGAGCCCUAUGGAAUCAAGAAGUAGUCCCAAGUGAAGUUAACACGUGGCUAACAAAUGUGGGGGAAAGAAUUGAAGAAGUGCAAAAAUUCCUUGAAGAAGAUGUCAAAACUAACAAGAUGUGCAUGAAUGGUUGGUGUCCUAAUAUGAAAAUCCGGUAUUCCUUGGGCAAGAAAGCUCAGAAGAAUACUCGAGCCAUCGUUGAGUUGCUAGAAGAAGGUGGAAAAUAUGACAAGGUGUUCAAUAUUUCACCCCCAUUGAAAGUGAGAUCAUCAACCACAGAACGGUUUAAGGAUUUUAGAUCACGACAAGCAAUGAUUCGAAAUGUUUUGGAGGCUCUAAGGGAUGAAAAAAUCGACAUGAUUGCAAUAUGUGGUAUGGGAGGUAUUGGCAAGACAGAAAUGGCAAAAGAAAUAGCUAGAAGAGUCAAAGCUGAUGAUUUAUUCCAUGAAGUUGCCAUUGCAGUUGUGUCUCAAAGUCCAAACUUGACAAAGAUUCAAGGUGAACUUGCAGAAAUGCUAGGUGCGAGACUUAAUGCAGAGAGUUUACAAGGAAGAGCAAAUGAAUUAUAUUCAAGACUGACGAAGAGUAAGAGUGUCCUUGUGAUAUUGGAUGAUGUUUGGGACCCACUUGAUCUUGAGGUUGUUGGAGUUUACCAUGCAUUAAAAGAAAAGAGCUGCAAAAUCUUGUUGACGUCAAGAAGUGAAGAAACUUGCAAUCAGAUGAGAUUUCAAAAGAUUUUUCGAAUUGGACUUUUAUCCAAAGAAGAAGCUUGGAAUUUUUUCAGAGAGAUGGCAGGUGAUUGUAUCAAUGCCCCUAAUCUAAUCUCAAUAGCAAAACAGGUUGUGAGGGAAUGUGCAUGUUUGCCCAUUGCUAUAGUGACGGUUGGAAGUGCUCUUAGAAACAAAAGAGAUGAAUUUGAGUGGAAAGCUGCACUGCACCAACUUAAAAUGUCUAUCCCACAAAAUAUCCCUGGUCUACAUCCAAAGGUAUAUUCUAGCAUAGAGUUCAGUUACAAUUAUUUAGGAAGUGAUGAAGCCAAAUCAUGUUUGUUGCUAUGUUGUUUGUAUCCCGAAGAUUAUGAUGUUCCAAUUGAGCAUUUAGUCAGGUAUGGAGUUGCAAAAAGGUUUCUUAAAGGCUUUAGUAUUGUGGAACAAAUAAGAGCACAUGUCAACACAAUAGUUCGGAAUCUUCAAAGAUCAAAUCUCUUGUUGGUUAGCAAAAGCAUCGAAUGCGUCAAAAUGCAUGAUAUUGUACGAGAUGUUGCUAUAUCAAUUGCAUCCAGAGAUGAACAUGGUUUUAUGGUAGAGUUGGAUAGAAGACAUGAAGAAUGGCCACAAAAGGACACAUAUGACAGUUACACCACAAUUUCUCUUUUACUUGGAGAAAUGAAAGGGCAUCUUGAUGGGUUGAAAUGUCCCAAACUUCAACUUUUGCGACUAUCAUGUUUAAAGGAUUCAGAAAUAUUGCUAGGCAAUUUAUUUAAUGGGAUGAAUGAGCUAAGGAUGUUGUCUUUACAAGAAGGCUGCUUCUCCUUGAAUUCAUUGCCACCAUCAAUCCAGAUCCUCGAAAACCUUCGUAUGUUGAAUCUUGAGAGCUGUCGUUUAAGAGAUGUGUCAGCAAUUGGAAGCCUUGGAAAACUAGAAAUUCUUAGUUUUCAUGAUUCCAAGAUCGAGGAGUUACCAUGGAAAAUAGGAAAUCUUAGUCAAUUGAAGUUGCUAGAUAUGAAGGGAUGCAAUUAUCUAAAGCGAAUUGCAGCUGGUGUCUUAUCCAAUUUAUUUCGACUACAAGAGUUGUACAUGCCAAGAUUCAAGAACUGGAAAUGUACUACUACGAUGGAAGGAAAUGGAGAAGGAACAAGUAACAAUGCAAGCCUUGCUGAACUAAUUCCUUAUUUUGGUCAAAUGACGGUUUUAGAAAUUAGCGUACUAAGUAUCGGGUGCUUGCCUAAAGAAUUGCACUUCAGUAACUCCAGUUUGAGAUUUAGGAUAAACACUGAAGAUGAUGGGAGAUAUUUAUUUGAAAAUGAAAUUAGCCUCGAAGGGGAGGAUGCAAAUGAUCUUGGAAAAAUUCUGGAAAUGGUCAUUAGUAGGGGUGUUUUUGGCAACCAAAUUCAUUGUCGAAUAGCUAAGUGCAAGCGUUCGGAAAGUAUAUUUUGGUUGGCCAUGGUGAGAGAUUUGGUUCAACUCAAAUCGUUAGAGGUUUUACAUUGUGAAAAGAUACAAGAACUUUUUUCAGAGGAGGGAGAAGAUAAGGAGAAAGUCAUUGGUGAUGCCAUUACAUUGCCGAAGAUGGAAAAAAUACGACUAUCUUCCUUACCAAGGCUCAUUGGUAUCUCUAAAUCCAUGAACUUGGUUGAGGUUGAAGGAGGAGGCAACACUUCAUCAACAACCCUCUCUCAUAAACUAUUUUCAUCCAACACCAUUUUCUGGUUUCCCAAUUUGAAAUUCCUUGAAGUAGAUGAUAGUGGAUCACUAGAAGUGAUAUUUGAUCUGGAAGGACUAAAGGUCAUAGAGAAAUGCCAGCCCAUCCUAGCACUUUCUCAAUUAACAAGUCUACAUUUCCGGUUGUUAGAUGAGAUGGCACAUGUGUGGAAGAAUAUUCCAAGAGGAUUUCAAGGUUUUCAAAAAUUAAAAUCAAUUAAAAUCUGGAAAUGUUGUAAUCUUAGAAGUUUGUUUCCUUUUUCUGUUGCAAAACUACUUGUUCACCUUCAAAAGGUACAAAUAAGUUUUUGCCAAUUGAUGGAAAAUAUUAUUGAAAGAGAGGACGAAGGUGGAGAUGAAAGGAAAGCAGAUAUUAUUGUAUUCCCUCAAAUUCAAACCUUCCAUCUACAUGGUCUAGAAAAUCUUGUGAGUUUCAGUAGUGAAGCCCAUUCUUUUGAGUGGCCAUCCAUAGAGGAGAUUGCUUUGUUUAAUUGUCCAAAAUUAAAAACAUUUGAUUCUGAAGUUCAAAGCGAAAAAAAGCUAAGAAAGAAGGAUACAAAAUUGGAUGCAAGAGCCCCCCAAGUGCCUAGUGCUGGCUCCUCCUCAACAAGAGAAUCUUUUAGAUUUUUCAAUCGAUGCCUAGAGUUGUCUGGUGUACGACGGCAUAGGAGUUACAAUCCAGACCAAGGAUAUUGCAGCUCCACAUCGGGAGAGAGCAAACACAACCUUAACAAAGAGGUUACAUUGACGAAUCAAGAUGAGCUUGAAAAUCAAACAAAGAUGUGCUCUCUUUUUCCAUACAACUUGAUCGAAAGUUUGGAAAAUCUUAAAAAACUUUUGGCAUCUAAAUGUGAUUCACUGGAAGUGAUAUUUGAACUUGAAGGACUAAAUGUUGAAGAAAGCAAUAUAUUCAAUAACUUGGCAGAGUUGUCAUUAAAAACUUUACCGAAAGUGCUGAAUAUAUGGAAGAAAGGUCCACGAGAUAUCAAGGGAUUCAAUAACUUGAGGUUGCUAAAAGUAUGGGGAUGUGAUAGUUUGAAAUGUUUAUUCACACUAUCCAUAGCAAAACUUCUUGUGAAGUUAGAGAAAAUAGAAGUACAUUACUGCAACCAAAUGGAAGAAAUCCUUGCAAAAGAAUCAGGAGACGAGAAGAAAAGAGAUGUGAUUACAUUCCCUCAAGUGAAGACCCUCUCGCUCAGGGGUUUACCAAAAUUAGAAUGUUUUUGCAAUGAGGCGAUAGCUUUUGAGUGGCCGUCUUUGGAAAAAAUGACAAUUGUUGGAUGUGAAAAAUUAAAAAUGUUUGUUUCAACAAGUAUGCAAACACCUAAGCUAAAAGGAGUGCAUACAGGGUCUGAAACUUUUCAACCAAUGAUAGAAGGAGACCUCAAUACCACCAUACAACACAUUAUCAAAAGAAAGGCGAAUUUACAGGAGAUCUCACAGAGCUCCAGGUCUCCAUAGCAGAGCCUGCUUGUCCCCAUUUCGAGGUUGUUUUGGUUGCCAAGAAUGGUGCUUGCUGGCACUUUAGAAUUUGUCUUGCAUGGGAUCAGACCUGCAUGGAGCAAUGGGAGAGAAUAUGGGGAGUCUGUUAUGAUCCCGUUGUAAGGCGAUGUCAUUUGCUGGAGGUUAAGUAGAUGCAGGAUGCAGUGUUUUGGUGAGGAUGUGGAGAUUCAGGACUACCAUCAAGUGCACCAUUUUGGGCAAGGGGAUAGUGGAACUCAACAUUUCACCUAUUAUAAUAAAGUCCCUUUCCAUUCUACAGUAGCUUAUUUCCGUGUAUUACUUUAUUGUCUUAUUUCUUGCUUUCCGUUAGUUAUGAACACGUGUUAAUUAAUGUAUGGUUCUGUUAAUUCCCCUGCAUGGGAUAUAAUGGGAGGGAGGGGAAAUUGCUGAGAUAUUCUGGAAUCUGGAAAAGUAGUCUGAACUUGUAUUUGCAUUUUGGAGGUUUGGGAGCCCUCGAAGUUACUCCCGUAUAUCAAUACUUAGUAGUGCAUUUCCUUUA